GAACCUUUUGAUUGUGUUUGGUGGGGAAGGGGGAUGCUCCUGAGAAUCUCUGACUGCUUGAACCCCGGUUUUCGAUUAAAAAUCUCUGGGAUUACCUCCAGCCUGCUUACAAAAAUAAGUGCAGUUAUUUGAGUGACAGUAUUUAUGCAAGAGAAGAAAACCAAAAAUAUGGACAGUCUCUUUCAUUAGCACUUUUAGAGAGAAAUGUCAAUAACAAACACUGCUUAUGAUUUUUUUAUUAUUAUUAUUUUUAUUUUUUGGCUUUAGUUCCAAACACUCUGAAGUUGUAUAGUUUCCUUGUCAAAAGAACUGUCAAAAAGAGGCCUUUUCUGUUUUUCCAGCUGUCAUGUGGGAAAGCAUGAGAGCUGUGGAAAACUGCUGGUGGAAGAAUGGUUAACACCCUUCCCUCCUCCCAGAAAUUUUUUGGUUUUUAGUUUGCAACCAGUUACAUGUGCAUGCCCUAGAUACUCGCAUGAGUCAAGUACCAAGGAAGAAUUCGAUUACUUGAUCCAGAGUCUCAGAGCACCAAAGCUGGUCCUGCAACAUCUGAGAAAUAUAAGAAAAAGAAACCUGCUUCUUCCCACUGCUUUCAAAAAGGAGUUGAUGGGGUACUUGCCACCAACAAAAAAUUCCUCUGUCAUGAGACUGCUGAAGUCAGUGGCUGUGCAGCCUGAGUCCCAGGAUAAGAUAAUUAUUACUCUGAUCUGGUAAUGAAAGUUAUUGUAGCAUAUAUGAUCAAAAUGGACCUUGUCCAUAAUUUGUAGCAUAGCAACUAGGUAAGUGAAGAAAAAACCCAGUUGAUGUAUCUGCCAGUAAUUGAUUUUUUUCCCUGUAUAAGGAAGAGCUGAUUAUGCAACAACGCAAUCCUUGGGAUUAUUAAGGAAAAAAAUAAAAUAAAAUAAAAUAAAAUAAAAUAAAAUAAA
rnacentral:lncRNA from 1 species